ACCGCUCGUGUAAUAAUGCGUCAAACAGUUCAGGCAGUAAUAAACUGCUAUGACCACGAAGUCUUUCACAGCGACAUCCAUCCAGGCAACUUCCUAGUCAACACAACAACGUUAGACACCAAGCUGAUUGACUUCGGUUGUGGUCAGCUAUAUACUUAUGGCGCCUACAAAAGUCACAAGUACAUAGGGGUAAAAGAUUUCUUUCCACCGGAAGUCAGAUGGAACCGGAAGUUUCAUGCCAUUCCAGCAAACGUCUGGUGUCUAGGAAUGGUCCUGUAUGAAAUGGUGAAUGGAUACAAGUCGUAUGUGAAGUCCAAAGAAGUCCAGUUUGCUAAUCCCAAUUUAUCCGAAGGUUGGACACAAAAGUGCUGGACACUACACUGGACUGAGAAGACCACACUACACCAGAC